UAAAGCCUCCAACAAAUGCGGAACUACGUGAAAAAACCAAACCUACAUUUGAUUGGUGUACCCAAAAUUGACGGGGAGAAUGGAACCAAGUUGGAAAACACUCUUCAGGAUAUUAUCCAGGAGAACUUCCCCAACCUAGCAAGGGGAGCAAGGGGAGGGAUAGCAUUAGGAGAAACACCUAAUGUAGAUGAUGGCAGGCAGAAGAAUAAAAUUGGAUUCUUAUUUCACAUUAUGUACAACAUACACUCAAAAUGAAUUAAAGAUUUGGGUUGGGUUUUCAGUCACUUGCAACCAAAAGAGUCCUGACUAAAGUAGUAGUUGAAAAUGCAGCACUAUAGUUUGACAGUUACCUUUUAGAGUCCCCAUAAAAUAAACCUCUGUCAAUUAAUACGACUUCCCCUAUGCACACCUAAAUGUGCACCUUUCUUCAUAGAAAGGGUACUCGCAACAGCAGGCAUAAGCUUCACAUUUACACCGGUUCCCCUUGCCCCUCGAAGCCCAUGGGGGUAAUCUCAAGAAGCCCAGGUGGAUGCUAGCACACAGUGGGUUUGCAUCACAGCCACAGAACACAGGAACACCAAGCUAAAGGAAACCCCGUCUUUUACAAUGUAAGAAUAGUGCUAGGCUGCUAGGUCAAGACACAUUAAAUAAAAUAUGAAAACAGUGAAGAUAAAAGGUAAUCUCAGAACUUUAUAAGA
rnacentral:lncRNA from 1 species